AGCCACAUAAUCAAUGAGCUGAUAGAAACUGAACGGGUUUAUGUAGAAGAACUUCAAAGUAUAAUAGAGGGGUAUGCUUCAGAAAUGGAUAAUCCCAAUUUAGUGCAUCUGAUCCCAUCCGCGCUUCAGAACAAGAAGGAUGUGCUUUUUGGGAACCUCCCAGAAAUCUAUGAAUUCCACAACAGGAUUUUCCUUAAGGAGCUGGAAAAUUGCAUUGAAAAUCCCGAGCUUCUUGCCCGAUGCUUUUUGAAAAGA